UACAGAGGGGGCGAGCGUUGUUCGGAAUUACUGGGCAUAAAGGGCGCGUAGGCGGCCUUCUAAGUCGAACGUGAAAUCCCCGGGCUCAACCCGGGAACUGCGUCCGAUACUGGGAGGCUUGAAUCCGGGAGAGGGAUGUGGAAUUCCAGGUGUAGCGGUGAAAUGCGUAGAUAUCUGGAGGAACACCGGUGGCGAAGGCGGCAUCCUGGACCGGUAUUGACGCUGAGGCGCGAAAGCCAGGGGAGCAAACGGG
rnacentral:rRNA from 1 species